GACGAACGCUGGCGGCGUGCUUAACACAUGCAAGUGGUGCGACGAACCAGGCUUCGGCCUGGGGCAGAGCCGCGAACGGGUGAGUAACACGUGGGCAACCUGCCCUGUUGAUCGGGACAACCCGGGGAAACCCGGGCUAAUACCGAAUGUGGUGCCGGCUCAUGAGAGCCGUCACGAAAGGAUGCUUCGGCCGCCGCGACAGGAUGGGCCCGCGGCCCAUGAGCUUGUUGGUGGGGUAAUGGCCUACCAAGGCAACGAUGGGUAGCUGGUCUGUGAGGACGAUCAGCCACACUGGGACUGAGACACGGCCCAGACUCCUACGGGAGGCUGCAGUGGGGAAUCUUGCGCGAUGAGCGACAGCUUGACGCAGCAACGCCGCGUGGGGGAAGAAGGCUUUCGGGUCGUAAACCCCUUUCAGUUAGGACGAAGCUUUAUUGGUUAAUAACCAAUUGGAGUGACGGUACUUUCAGAAGAAGCCCCGGCUAACUACGUGCCAGCAGCCGCAGUAA
rnacentral:rRNA from 1 species